ACGAUUAAAUUUUGUUUAUUUAGCAAAUCAAUUAACUUGAGUGAAAUUAAGUUAAAUCAAGUAAUAAAAAUAACACAAAGAUUUUUACGUGGUUCGACUAUUACCCUCUAUAAUAAUAGCCUACUCCACGUCCAAUACCAACUAGUAUUGGAGACUCACUUUUAUUUCUUUAAAAGACUCUUGUUACAAUAUAUAUUCUAUAAAAUUGAAUUACAAUAAUUCACUUGAGUACUCUUGCUCCUUGUGCACCAAUGCACCCCUUAAGCACCUAUGCUUCCUUGAACCUGUUUGUAGACAAACCUCUACCUGAUUAAAAUUCCUUUAAACAACACUUAGUCUAAAAAACAAAUUAAUAUUACAAUAAUAGAGGUCUAAUGAUCAAAGCAAAUAAGAUAUUUAACAAUGCAAGGCUCAACUAAUGAAUGCAAUGAUCAAAUAGAAAUAGUAAAAGAUAUCACCAAUAUUUUGCUCAUGAAAAUUGCUGAUUUUUUAAUCUGAGUAUGAAAGCACAGCAGUUGGAAUAUUGCACCGAAAAUAAUGAAAUAACUUCUCAAGUAUGUAAGUGCAAUAAUUAAUGUAAGUGUUAUCUUUUAUCACAUAUCUCAGUCUCUCUUAUAUAGCCCAAAAUAUUACCGUUGCCAAAAUAUUUGUUUAGUUAUCAAACUUUGUUUACGUUGCUACUGAUAAGAACCAUCCCAACAAUACAACUGUUGAAAGCAAAAACAAAUAUUUUAGAUAGUUACAAACAUAUGUUGGGCUCUUUAAUCAGUUAUCCACAAAGAGACCAAGUAAGAUAAAACACUUCCAGACUUUUCAAUUCUCCCAACAAUAAAGUCUACCGCCAGUUGUAACAAAAGAUAUCAUGAUAACAAUUUCCAACUAUCAAGGAUAAUCAUGACUUAAGAUUUCCAAAGCAUGUGUUAAGUGAAAACUUACCGCCAUAUAUAAUGCAUUUUAACGGGAUUUGUGCAAAUAAACUUCUAACAAAUAAUGAUCAUACCUCAGUUGGCACAAAAUCUUUAAGUUACCAACACAUGUAAAACUCAAUUAAUUCGGACAAAACCUUUUUGCAUGCAUGCUAAUUAAAUCAGUUUUAUCAAAUAGCAAUAACAUAUAUUAGACAUGCAUAAUUAAUUCAUAUUUUAAUGCACACUAUGAAAUGUCCUAGAGCCUUGUAUUGAAAAAUCAAAUAUUUCCAAUGACCUUACAUAUUUUUCUUAGGACUCAAAACGUCUUCAUUCUUCUUGAAUAAUCCAUCAAACACUUCUUGAAACAAUUUCCUGAAAUUCACAAUAAAUAAUUUAGUACCAAUGAGCAAGUCAUCUUCAAAACAUUAGGCUAGAAUGUGACAUAAUCAACAAGGUAUGGGACUUGUGUCCCACAUCGAUGGUAUGGGACUUUGAUGUGGGAUAUUUAUAAACUUUGGGCUCUCCAACCUUAAUAGCUAGCUUUUAAGGUGUGGCUCUCCCAUUGUUUGUAACACUUCUUUACUCUGAAGUUGUUCUUCAACACGUUUGUACUUAAUUUCUUCCUUCAAGAAAUUUAAAUGGGUGGAUUUACAAUUCAAUAAAUUUAAUGAUUUGGAAAUAGAUUCUUCUUGAAUGAAUUUCAAAUCUCU
rnacentral:lncRNA from 1 species